rnacentral:ncRNA from 1 species
CACCUUAUGAGAAAUCAAAGUCUUUGGGUUCCGGGGGGAGUAUGGUCGCAAGGCUGAAACUUAAAGGAAUUGACAAAAGGGCACCACUAGGAGUGGAGCCUGCGGCUUAAUUUGACUCAACACGGGGAAACUUAUCAGGUCCAGACAUAGUAAGGACUGAUAGACUGAGAGCUCUUUCUUGAUUCUAUGGGUGGUGGUGCAUGGCUGUUCUUAGUUGGUGGAGCAAUUUGUCUAGUUAAUUUCGUUAACGAACGAGACCUCAGCCUAGCUUCUUAGAGGGACUAUGGCCUUUUAAGCUACGGAAGUUUGAUGCAAUAAUAGGUCUGUGAUGCCCUUAGAUGUUCUGGGCCGCACGCGCGCUACACUAAUGUAUUCAAUGAGUCUAUAGCCUUAGCCAACAGGCCCGGGUAAUCUUUGAAAUUUCAUCGUGAUGGGGAUAGAUCAUUGCAAUUGUUGGUAUUCAAUGAGGAAUUCCUAGUAAGCGCGAGUCAUCAGCUCGCAUUGACUACGUUCCUGCACUUUGUACACACCGCCCGUCACUCCUAUCGAUUGAAUGGCCCGGUGAAGUGUUCGAAUCGCGAUGACGUGAGUGGUUCGCUACCCGCGAUGUCGCGAGAAGUCUACUGAACCUUAUCAUUUAGAGGGGGGAGAAGUCGUAACAAGGUUUCCGUAGGUGAACCUAUGGAAGGAUCAUUU